UGGAAACACUUCCAGUUGUUUCUUUCCUUUUCCAAAGAGCCUUGAGCUGUCGUGGAAGUUCUGGUGAUGUUCCCAGAGCGGAGUCUGAUCCCGGAGCCCCACCAGGCCACUGUUGUAGCCCUGAGGUUGUGCCUCUGCUGCUGCUCCAGAGGGGAUUUUCUUUCCUUUUCCCAAGUGAGAGUUCAGGUGCUGGUUUAAAGGGGAAAAAAGGAAUUGUUGGAGCUUUUGUGGGAGGGCACAAACACACCCACUGCCCUGGUGGUUCCGGUUGGGUCUGCGGGGCCGGCACGUGGGAAUUCCGCUGGGGCGGAUCUGGAAGUGCAGCAUGAAUAUUUCAGGUGUUAAUCUCUUCCUCAAGCAGCAGGGAGGGACUAAGGCAGCUUUAGGACCGGGAUUACCGGCGCUCCAACUAUUUCAGCUUUUCCCUUCUGCGUGCUAAUGAGAGACCCCCUCGCAGCGCCAAGCUCCUGGAGAUGUGUCUGAGCCCUCAGAGGAAAAAUAAUCCCGGUGCAUUUUUAGUCCUGAAUUACUGUUGAUACAACAGCCUCCGACUUCCACGAGGUGGGAUUAACUCCAGGGCUCCUCCUGAGCCCCUGUGUGCUGGGGGCAGGUGUUUCCUGCACCAGAGCUGCCUCAUUCCUGGUGGGAAUGGCUCCUCCAAGGUGCUGGAGUCUUAAUAGCUUUAAGGCCCUUGAUUAGGCUUGUCAUGUGUGUUGGGCAUUGUGGAUUAGGGAUCAUCUUCCUGCAGACCUGCUGCACAAGCAGGUUUUGAUCUGGCACGGGGAUCCCAGGCUGGAGAACUCCUCGGGUUUGGGUUUUCACACUCGGCUUUUCAGCUCACCUUAAUUUGCACCUCUCUGGUCCGGAGGUCUGGAAGUGGCUUGGUAAUUCCUCACCGGGGUAUUUGGGAGUUGUGUUGUGCCCCGUGAUGGGGUGUUCAUUCUCUGCCCUCUGUGCUUCUCCCUCAUGGAUUAUUUUCCCUGAAUUCUGGGGUUAGUCAACCCAUCCUGUUCAGCCCCAGCAGGUGAACGCUGCAUUCCUGCUGGGGUUUCACUCUUUGCAGGCUGAACUAAGCUUCUUACCUGCCAGCUGCCUCCCUGCCUUAAAGCUAUUUAAAUCCAUCACAGGGAUGCAGAUUCACUUUCUGGGGGAGCAGAGGAACCACACUCUGGGUCGGGAUAUAUUUGGUCCUACAGGCCUCGUGGAAAUAAAGCACCUCCAAGUGACUGCGAGGACCAAGUGGGGACUCACCAUCCUCUGGUAGCUCAGGGAUUGUCCAGGGGCAGUGAGGGGGUUGUAGGGUGAGCUUAGGACUGUUCAGGGGCAGUGAGGGGGUUGUAGGAUGAGCUGAGGGGACUGAUUGUCCAGGGGCAGUGAGGGGUUGCUUUGGCAGUUUGUAGGAUGAACAGAGCUUGGGAUUGUCCAAGUGCAGGUGGAGUUGCUUUAGCAGUUUGUAGGAUGAGCUCAGGAUUCUCCUGGUGCAGUGAGGGGUUUGUAGGAUGAGCUGAGGGGAUUGUCCAGGGGCAGUGAGGGGUUUGUAGGAUGAGCUGAGGGGAUUGUCCAGGUGCAGUGAGGGGUUUGUAGGAUGAGCUCAGGAUUGUCCAGGGGCAGUGAGGGGUUUGUAGGAUGAGCUUGGGAUUGUCCAGGUGCAGUGAGGGGUUUGUAGGAUAAGCUGAGGGGAUUCUCCUGGUGCAGUGAGGGGUUUGUAGGAUGAGCUGAGGAUUGUCCAAGGGCAGUGAGGGGUUUGUAGGAUGAACUCAGGAUUGUCCAGGGGCAGUGAGGGGUUUGUAGGAUGAGCUGAGGGGAUUCUCCUGGUGCAGUGAGGGGUUUGUAGGAUGAGCUGAGGGGAUUGUCCAGGGGCAGUGAGGGGUGCUUUGGCAGUUCGCAGGAUGAGCUGAGGGGAUUGUCCAGAUGCAGUGAGGAGUUGCUUGGCAGUGUGUAGGAUGAGCAAUAGGGGUUUUCCAGGUGCAGUGAGGGGUUGUUUGACAGUUGUAGGAGGAGCAGAGCUCUGGAUCGUGCUGGAGUCUGACACAGUGGAUGUAGCCAAUAUGUGAUGGGUGGGCACCCACUGGAUGAGUUCCUGUGUCACCUGGACCAGAGGAUCUCCAGAGGUCCCUCCCAACCCCAAAUUCUGUGACGUGCUGGCCCCAGCCCGGCCCUGCCUUUUGAAGAAAGAGCCCUGGUGGUGCCAGAGCCCGUCGUGGGAGCCGGAGGGACCAUUGUGGGAACCAGAGGGACCGUGCCCCAUCCCGCCCUCAGACGGAGCAGCAGCGCUGGCUCGGGUUUCCGUCGGUCUGUCUGAGCCUCUCUGAACUGCCGCCCUACUUGGAGGAAAUCCAUGGAAACCUCCUCGCCUCCCUCCACUCCUCAAGGCUCCUGCCUGCAGAAGGU